GAGAAAUCUGGAGAGAGAGAGAGAGAGAGAGAGAGAGAGAGAGAGAGAGAGAGAGAGAUUUUGCAUCUUCUUCGUGGUGCGUCUAGCUUCUCCUGAGCUGUCUCCAAGAGUUUGCAGGAAGAACAUUUUUGGAAAGUGGUAGUGGAAUAAAUAUGUUGGAGUCGCACUAGUUGGAGAAACACUUGCAGUGAUGGGAUUUGGAAAGGUAGGAUCAGACGUUGCACGGCGUGUGAAUGGGCUUGGUAUGCAUGUGAUCGCACAUGACCCAUAUGCCCCUGCAGACCAUGCCCGUGCAAUAGGUGUGGACCUUGAGAGCUUUGAUGAAGCCUAGUAACUGCAGAUUUCAUUUCUUUGCACAUGCCUCUUACUCCUGCUACAUCAAAGAUUCUUAAUGAUGGAACUUUUGCAAAGAUGCAGAAAUGAGUUCGGAUGAAGAUGAAGAAAGAACUCCAUUUUGCAAUGAUGGAACUGCAGAUUCUUAAUGAUGGAACUUUUGCAAAGAUGAAGAUCGAAGAACUUUUGCAUCCACACACACUAUUAAGUUCUAUGCCCAAAGUUGGUGCUAACUUGUAAAAUAUGUUGUAUUGGAAUGGACUGUGUUGAGUGUAAUACGAUUUGUGUGAUGAACUGAAGUUGUUAGUGAAAUGGAAACUUUGAAAUGAAAAUUGUACUGAUAAGCGACAGCGUUUUUUUUUUU